rnacentral:tRNA from 1 species
AACCGAUUCACUCAUCAAAGACCUUGUGGGCUGAGUCGUCGUGCGGCAUCGGUUU